UGAUCGCGUCGCGACUGGCGGUCCUGGCGAUGCUCCUCACCGAGCGCGCCGGGCGGGUGGAAACAACCACCGGGGAGCGGCGUGCAGUGCAGACUUCGGGUCGUUCGCCUGGGCCCCGGUC
rnacentral:ncRNA from 1 species